UACGAAUGUUAGAGAGAAAUUAACUCAACAUCAGGUGUGAACUGUAUGAAUAUUUUACAUAAAUCAUCUGAAAAAGACUGUUGUCUGUAAGAGGGCUUUUAAAAGAGAUCACUGAAGUUGAUAUGAGGAACCUGUGCCUUUGAAGAUGUUCCAUUCCAAGUAGACAAACAAUAGUGUUAUUACUACUUCAGUUAUUUUUGCUGAAGUAAGCAUCCAGGCCUCUGGAUUUAGUGCUCUGUUGAAGGCCAAUGGAAACAGAGAUGAUUUGCCUGCCUGAUGCCUUUUCACCCUUUCAUCUCACAAAGAUGCUACUUAAUAGGCGAGCAGAUACUGGAUAAGAAGAUAAAAGAAUGGAAGUGAUGAGAUCAAGGCCACAAAAGAAAGGAAGAACCUGCUUGUAUCUUCUCCUCACACACCUGCUAGGAAAGCAAAUCCUGCUUUAGUCAUUGGUGCCACUUUGGGCAUUUUGCCGUAGUUACACAGGAGUGUCUAGUGGAGCCUUCCACUUAAAUGACUGUUCUACUUUUCCUUUGGAACCAAAGAACCACAGAAAUUAAUGGGAACACACAUUGGAAGCAAGAGGUAUUCCAGACCUACUAACAAAAGCAGCAUAAUGAAAACUGAAGACCUUGAAUAACAAUAAAAUAACCGAGUUGGUAAAAACCCAACUGAUGGAGCUCUCAUGUGGAACAUAUUGUGUCUACGAUGUUACAGGUCAUUUCCUUUCUCUUUCUCUAUAAACAUGUUUUUCAAAUGAGUUUCAAGUUGGUGCAGCUGCUUCAAGCCCAGCAUGUUGAAAGCAUAUCCAUAUGACAGAUGACCAGCAGCUGCUGUUGGAAAAUGGACAAAGCCAAGGGUAGAUGUUGCUUGGGAGGAUGAACUUUGCUUCCAGGCAAAACAUCUUCUUCAAUAUUUUGC